rnacentral:lncRNA from 1 species
CCGACACCGUCGCUAGAAAUCCCAAAACCGGCCCAGUACCCACCCCCCACCACAUGAAAAACCAGAAAGAUUAGUAAGCAAAGAAACUUGCAGCAGCAACAAUAGAAGAAAGAACUUAUUGCGCAGUAUGAAGAUCGAGCGAAGAGAAGAAGACGAAGACAAUGUUGAUAACAAGGAGGAAAAAAUGGACAUGUUGUGGGAGGAUUUGAAUGAAGAGUUUUCAAGAAAAUUUAUGGCUGAUUCUGAUAUAUCUUCACCUAACAGAGGUGUACAAAUAAGCUAUGUUAAAACCUUAAAGUUGUCA